rnacentral:rRNA from 1 species
AUGUGCUCACACAUGGGCUGUCGAGAAUACUGCAUAGCUAGGGAGUGGGAGAGGUAGACGGUACUCUAUAGGAAGGGGUAAAAUCCUUUGAUCUAUAGAUGACCACCAGUGGCGAAGGCGGUCUACCAGAACACGUCCGACGGUGAGGGAUGAAAGCUGGGGGAGCAAACCGGAUUAGAUACCCGGGUAGUCCCAGCUGUAAACUAUGCAAACUCAGUGAUGCAUUGGCUUGUGGCCAGUGCAGUGCCGCAGAGAAGUCGUUAAGUUUGCCGCCUGGGAAGUACGUACGCAAGUAUGAAACUUAAAGGAAUUGGCGGGGGAGCACCACAAGGGGUGAAGCCUGCGGUUCAAUUGGAGUCAACGCCAGAAAUCUUACCCGGAGAGACAGCAGAAUGAAGGUCAAGCUGAAGACUUUACCAGACAAGCUGAGAAGUGGUGCAUGGCCGUCGCCAGCUCGUGCCGUGAGGUGUCCUGUUAAGUCAGGUAACGAGCGAGAUCCCUGCCUCUAGUUGCCACCAUUACUCUCAGGAGUAGUGGGGCGAAUUAGCGGGACUGCCGCAGUUAAUGCGGAGGAAGGAGGGGGCCACGGCAGGUCAGUAUGCCCCGAAAAUCGU